rnacentral:misc_RNA from 1 species
AACGCACAUUGCGCUCCCUGGUAUUCCGGGGAGCAUGCCUGUUUGAGAAUCGAUUUCACCCUCACCCCCCUCUUGGGAAGUGGACUUGAGCGGCUUGACCUUGGUCAACCGCUUGAAAGGCAUGGGCAAAGGAACCGUGUGUUCGAAAGCGAUAGUGGUAUGCCCCUUGGGGUGUUGACGCGCUGGAGGAACCAUGGCAUCCCGUCCGUCGAUCUCAACUGAGGACCUUCGGUCCCAGACCUCAUCAGCGCCCUCGUGGCCUGACUUUACGGUCUCAAAUCAGGCAAGACCACCCGCUGAACUUAA